rnacentral:rRNA from 1 species
CACGUAGGGGCCAAGCGUUGUCCGGAUUCAUUGGGCGUAAAGAGCUCGUAGGCGGUUCAGUAAGUCGGGUGUGAAAGCUCCGAGCUCAACUCGGAGAGGCCACCCGAUACUGUCGUGACUAGAGUCCAGUAGGGGAGCGUGGAAUUCCUGGUGUAGCGGUGAAAUGCGCAGAUAUCAGGAGGAACACCAGCGGCGAAGGCGGCGCUCUGGGCUGGCACUGACGCUGAGGAGCGAAAGCGUGGGGAGCGAACAGG